UACAUGGGGUGCAAACGUUUGCUCGGAAUCAUUGGGCGUAAAGCGCGCGUAGGCGGUUACUUAAGUUGGAUGUGAAAGCCCUCGGCUUAACUGAGGAAGUGCAUCCAAAACUGAGUAGCUAGAGUACGAAAGAGGGUCGCGGAAUUCCCGGUGUAGAGGUGAAAUUCGUAGAUAUCGGGAGGAACACCAGUGGCGAAGGCGGCGACCUGGGCCAAUACUGACGCUGAGGUGCGAAAGCGUGGGGAGCAAACAGG
rnacentral:rRNA from 1 species